rnacentral:lncRNA from 1 species
GCUGCGUAUGUCUUCUCAAAAAUAGUGCACCUGUUAAUUUUCAAUUGUGCUUUUUGACUUGUGUUUUUAUUUUGAAAUGGUCUGAUAGCUUUUGGUAGUUUCAGAGUUAAUCAAAGUGCCACCGAAUCCUGCUCCUCUCUCCAAACACAAAGUGCUCAGCAGAAAGUUCUGGAGAUUGUAGCAUGCGGCAGUUAGCGGCCAUGCGAGUGAGCUCUUGUGAAGUGGACACGGAGAAAGUCUGUCCUGUCGAUCCUUUUUUUUUUUUUGUCCCUUUUUCUUCACACGACUGAAUUUUUUAAGACCUUUACUGUACUGUUGCACAGCUGCCCCACCCUUACAAAAUUAUGCAGUCGUAUCCCGAUGGAUCCGAAACGCUGACGCUAAUCCUUACUGAUUUCAUCUGGAAUUAUUGAGCUCUUAUUGGACACAAAAUCAUUUUUACCUUGUGUGAUAUUGUUGCUUCAGUGUUGCUUCAAAUGAUGAGGCUGACCUCAGAUUUCACCUCUGUAAUUGAGGAGUCCUGUAGACACGUGCCCACGGGGGCCCAGGAGAGACCACCACCGCUGCAAGCUCACUGCUACCUCUGCGCCGGAGGAAAAGGGUGUCUGAAAAUGACGUUUCCUAUGAGUCCCAAGCAAAAAUAAAUGUUUGGCCCGAUCAGAUCUUGCUAUGGUUUUCUGAUCAUUUCCCAGCUGUGUUGUUUUCUGUCAUGUUGUGUAAAAUGUGGCUUAAUUGGCUUAAAUAUCUUCUACACAUACACUGUGCCUUCACAAAUCCACUAGGUCAUGUGUAUGUGGGCUUGUUUUAUUGAACAUUAAUUUUUCUCUAUAUAUAUGUAAACUCUAGAUCUUUUGCGAAAGAUUUAGACACUGAUGGACAUUUCAGAUCUUAAACAUGUUGCUUUUUCUGUGGAACUCCAACUCUCAUUUGAUGAACUAGGCCACCAACUAGGAUUGAAAUGCUUCUCACUUCUUUAAUCUGUGCCUUGUUGUGUUUUAAUUAAUUUUUUGCUUCAUGGGAGUGUUAUGGUUAUAUUGAGACACUGUUGUUUUUGUCUGUUUGUUUGGUUUUUUCUCUUCACGGAUGAAAAGUUGCAGGUUAAAGAAGCUCAUGUUAUUAGUUUUUACUCAUUGCCCUCUCCACAAAAGCAUAAUUAUGGGUUGAAAAUUGCAGCUCAGUGAUGUGCAUGUGCAACACAUGGCUGCAAAUUCCUUAGGAUGCUUUUUUAAGUUGUUCUAGUUGAUUAUGCUGGAAACCCUGAUGUUAAUUUGGGAGGAAAAGAAAAUAUACUCUAAAGGUCCUACAGACAGUUAUUAGGAUCUGAGAUCCUGCGAAUGGCUUGUUAAUGUUCGUUUAAUUAAUUAUUUUAGUUUGUGCUUUUGACAUCCUCUUCAAUUGUAUGUUUAGAUCUGAUUGGAUUAAUGUGCAUUUUAGUAUUUAGUAAGGCAUUUUUUGACACGAAUUAAUGUUAGGAGACCAUUUUGUUCUCUUUGCUUCAGUUUUGAUAUUCGACCGAUGUAAUGUCAACAAAAGACAGGCUAACGUUUUUUGUUAUAUAUCUAUAAAUCACGUUGGAUGCACUUAUUAAAUGUGGAAAAAGUGACCAACCUGCUGUGCUUUUUAACCUCGUGAAGACUCACUAUAGCCGUUAUCGCUCUUUGGUAACUUUAACCCCAGAACACAUACACGCUUUUUAAAUCACACGAG